UACGGAGGGGGCUAGCGUUGUUCGGAAUUACUGGGCGUAAAGCGCACGUAGGCGGCUUUGCAAGUUAGAGGUGAAAGCCCGGGGCUCAACUCCGGAAUUGCCUUUAAAACUGCAUCGCUAGAAUUGUGGAGAGCUAAGUGGAAUUCCGAGUGUAGAGGUGAAAUUCGUAGAUAUUCGGAAGAACACCAGUGGCGAAGGCGACUUACUGGACACAUAUUGACGCUGAGGUGCGAAAGCGUGGGGAGCAAACAGG
rnacentral:rRNA from 1 species